AACGAACGCUGGCGGCAGGCUUAACACAUGCAAGUCGAGCGCCCCGCAAGGGGAGCGGCAGACGGGUGAGUAACGCGUGGGAAUCUACCCAUCUCUACGGAAUAACGCAUGGAAACGUGUGCUAAUACCGUAUACGUCCCUCGGGAGAAAGAUUAUCGGAGAUGGAUGAGCCCGCGUUGGAUUAGCUAGUUGGUGGGGUAAAGGCCUACCAAGGCGACGAUCCAUAGCUGGUCUGAGAGGAUGAUCAGCCACACUGGGACUGAGACACGGCCCAGACUCCUACGGGAGGCAGCAGUGGGGAAUAUUGGACAAUGGGCGCAAGCCUGAUCCAGCCAUGCCGCGUGAGUGAUGAAGGCCCUAGGGUUGUAAAGCUCUUUCACCGGUGAAGAUAAUGACGGUAACCGGAGAAGAAGCCCCGGCUAACUUCGUGCCAGCCGCCGCCGUAAGAC
rnacentral:rRNA from 1 species